UACGUAGGGGGCGAGCGUUAUCCGGAUUCAUUAGGCGUAAAGCGCGCGUAGGCGGCCGCCUAAGCGGAACCUCUAACCCCGGGGCUCAACCUCGGGCCGGGUUCCGGACUGGGCGGCUCGAGUGCGGUAGAGGAGAGCGGAAUUCCCGGUGUAGCGGUGGAAUGCGCAGAUAUCGGGAAGAACACCGAUGGCGAAGGCAGCUCUCUGGGCCGUCACUGACGCUGAGGCGCGAAAGCUGGGGGAGCGAACAGG
rnacentral:rRNA from 1 species